rnacentral:rRNA from 1 species
GGCCGUUUGAUAUUUCCGUCGCCGUGUCGGACGUCGCGACCUGUUCGCCCGUGUCGGUCCCUGCUCGGAGGAAUCGCGAUCGAGCUCGUUGCGCGGCACGUUUCGGCGUGCGGCGCGGCGAAGACGCGACUCUCUGGCCGACGGCGGACAGUAGGCAACGGUGUCCGGCGUCGUGUCUCGCACUCGACGUCGGUGCCGGUCUGCGACGAUUUCUUCGGGCCUCUUUCCGACCCGUCUUGAAACACGGACCAAGGAGUCUAACAUGCGCGCGAGUCGCGGGGCAUCGAGCGUACCACGCGGUGCGCUCGUCACAUGCGAAACCCGUACUCUGAAAGGCGUAAUGAAAGUGAAAUGGGGAAGAUGGCGUUCCGAGUCCACGUACCGUGAUCGAGUGUCGCGGCCGGACGCCCGCACUCCCGGGGCGUCUCGAAGGCUCGUCGCGGACGCGGACGAUCGUUCCUUCGGGGUCGGUCGUCGGUCUGCGUCGGACCGAGGCGCACCUACAGCGUGCACGUUGGUACCCGAAAGAUGGUGAACUAUGCCUGGCCAGGAUGAAGUCAGGGGAAACCCUGAUGGAGGUCCGCAGCGA